UAGACACCUUUCUCCAUGAAAGAGCCUUAUU
rnacentral:piRNA from 1 species